rnacentral:rRNA from 1 species
GACGAACGCUGGCGGCGUGCCUAAUACAUGCAAGUUGAGCGCUGAAGGUUGGUACUUGUACCAACUGGAUGAGCAGCGAACGGGUGAGUAACGCGUGGGGAAUCUGCCUUUGAGCGGGGGACAAAAUUUGGAAACGAAUGCUAAUACCGCAUAAAAACUUUAAACACAAGUUUUAAGUUUGAAAGAUGCAAUUGCAUCACUCAAAGAUGAUCCCGCGUUGUAUUAGCUAGUUGGUGAGGUAAAGGCUCACCAAGGCGAUGAUACAUAGCCGACCUGAGAGGGUGAUCGGCCACAUUGGGACUGAGACACGGCCCAAACUCCUACGGGAGGCAGCAGUAGGGAAUCUUCGGCAAUGGACGAAAGUCUGACCGAGCAACGCCGCGUGAGUGAAGAAGGUUUUCGGAUCGUAAAACUCUGUUGGUAGAGAAGAACGUUGGUGAGAGUGGAAAGCUCAUCAAGUGACGGUAACUACCCAGAAAGGGACGGCUAACUACGU